UAAAAAUCAGGCGAUUCCUCUUGACAGCUGUUUUUCUGGCUAAAGGCUCUGGAGCAGUGGGUAGGCUUUUGGGCUUCUUGGUGCAGUUGGUCCUGACUGACUUUCGAAACCGUUAGCUACGCUACUUUUGCAAUUAACCAAUACAAAAACACAGCACUUUUCCUUUUGCUAUUGUUCUCUAUCCGUUCAGUUGGCGGUUACCGUUAGCGUUUUUUGCAAAUAAUUUUGCUACACUCUUCGUUUUGCACUGUGGCUGGGGCCGUGUAAUGGAGGCGAAAGACACACUGUGUUUGAAGCGUAGCGGUUAAUAAAGCACGACACAACUAACUGUGUUCUGUCGGUUUCGUUCACGACUGGCAGCGAAAAAAUAAACGGGAAUAGUCCAGGCAUCAGGUGCGCGUCGUCUUUUAUAUGAGGCGAGGCGAGAGCUUUUCUGCUCGCAUCGCCAUCCAGAGAAGAGAGCAGCAGAAGCAGCGCGAAGAUAAGCUCUGCUUUUGUGCUCUCUCUGGGGUUAACCUUUCGGAGUGUGUAGGGCCACUGCUGUGCUCUGUUGUUGCUCUGUAAAAUGAUUUGCGUGCUUUUGGUUAAGUUUGUGCAGCAUUUAAUUUCGAAAUUAACAGCGAUAAGUGUCUCCUCCGGUCGGUCAGCUGUUGCCUGCGUGAUAAAGAUGUACAAAUUUUGAUUUGUCCCGCCAUAGGACAGCAAUCGGACCACUUUUUUGUUGCUACUAAAUACAAAAUACACUCUCACAUACAUGCAGUAAAAUAGUGUGACCUCUCCUCAUGAAAAAAAUUUGAAAAACAGCUGUUGACUAAUGAAAACGUUUCGAUGUGAAUAGCAUGGGAUGAGCAAUCGAUACUGCGACCAAUCGGCCGUUAAAUUCAAGCGUGGCUAUCGGAGUUGGAAUCUUUUAAUAAUCUUCUGAUGCGAACCCUUCAGGAAAUAUUUGGAAUACCUUUUGCAUGCCGUGGUCACCGAUUUGCCCACCAUUGUUUACCAGGGGCAUCACCCUUUUAGUCUUCCGGUCUUAAGAGCGAGUAUGCGCUCGAUGACGGCUAUCCCCUCCAGGCGCUUCACCGGCUGACAUCGUGAACUCCGGCUGGCUCCUGCGUACGGGGACAAGAUUGCUGUCCCCUCACAGGACAGAGUCCUAUCCAAGCAUUACCGAGGCGUACUCGAGACACACCGAGUCCUAUCUGAGCCAGACAGAAUCGUAUCCCA
rnacentral:sRNA from 1 species